ACUCCUACGGGAGGCAGCAGUGGGAAUAUUGCACAAUGGGCGAAAGCCUGAUGCAGCAACGCCGCGUGAGUGAUGAAGGCUUUCGGGUCGUAAAACUCUGUCCUAAAGGAAGAAUAAUGACGGUACUUUAGGAGGAAGCCCCGGCUAACUACGUGCCAGCAGCCGCGGUAAUACGUAGGGGCAAGCGUUAUCCGGAUUUACUGGGCGUAAAGGGUGUGUAGGCGGUUAUGCAAGUUGAUGGUGAAAGGCUACGGCUCAACCGUAGUAAGCCGUCAAAACUGUAUGACUUGAGUACAGGAGAGGAGAGUGGAAUUCCUAGUGUAGCGGUGAAAUGCGUAGAUAUUAGGAGGAACACCAGUGGCGAAGGCGACUCUCUGGACUGUUACUGACGCUGAGGCACGAAAGCGUGGGGAGCGAACAGGAUUAGAUACCCUGGUAGGCUCUGCU
rnacentral:rRNA from 1 species